AACGAACGCUGGCGGCAUGCCUAACACAUGCAAGUCGAACGAGACCUUCGGGUCUAGUGGCGCACGGGUGCGUAACGCGUGGGAACCUGCCCUUAGGUUCGGAAUAACUCCCCGAAAGGGGUGCUAAUACCGGAUAAUGUCUUCGGACCAAAGAUUUAUCGCCUUUGGAUGGGCCCGCGUUGGAUUAGCUAGUUGGUAGGGUAAAAGCCUACCAAGGCGACGAUCCAUAGCUGGUCUGAGAGGAUGAUCAGCCACACUGGGACUGAGACACGGCCCAGACUCCUACGGGAGGCAGCAGUGGGGAAUAUUGGACAAUGGGCGAAAGCCUGAUCCAGCAAUGCCGCGUGAGUGAUGAAGGCCUUAGGGUUGUAAAGCUCUUGUACCCGGGAUGAUAAUGACAGUACCGGGAGAAUAAGCCCCGGCUAACUCCGUG
rnacentral:rRNA from 1 species